GACGAACGCUGGCGGCGUGCCUAAUACAUGCAAGUAGAACGCAGUCGCGAACGGGUGAGUAACGCAUAGGUAACUGCCUCAUAGCGGGGGAUAACUUCUGGAAACGAUAGCUAAUACCGCAUACUGUGAGAUGGACCUGCGUUGUAUUAGCUAGUUGUUGAGGUAAAGGCUCACCAAGGCGACGAUACAUAGCCGACCUGGGAAGGGGAGCGGCCAAACUGGGACUUAGACAAGGGCAAGACUCCUACGGGAGGCAGCAGUAGGUAAGCUUCGGGGAUGGACGUAAGUCUUACCGAGCAACGCAGCGUGAGUGAAGAGGGUUUGCGGAUCGUAAAGCUCUGUUGUUAGAGAAGCAGUAACUAACCAGAAAGGGGCGGCUAACUACGUGCCAGCAGCCGGGGUAAUAA
rnacentral:rRNA from 1 species